GCUAUAAAAGAGAUACAAACAAUGUAUUCAAUAGAAAAAUCAGGAAAGGCUUCAAGGAAAUGAUGGCAUUUGGCAUGGACCUAGAUUGCCUUAAUCUUGUGGAAAUGGGGAAAAGGUGGUGAUUGUGAAGAAAGGUACAGCAAAAAAUGGACUCUGAGCAGGAAAUGAUGAGAAAAUCAGGAGUAGUGUGGGAUCAGUUUGGAAAGGCAAGUGGGAGCCAAAUUGUAGGAGCACUUUGGAUGCCACCCUUGGGAGUUGGGACUGUUCUCCUUGUGUGAGGUGCUUUGGAAUACCAGAGAAACUCGGUCGCAGCCAGGUUUUUUGAGUGCUUCCUCCACCAGCAGAUAUGGGGAUGACUUGGAGUGUGAGAGAAGUCUUCUAGGAGUCUGUGGUAUUAGUCUUGGCAUAAAUGAUAGCCUGGAUGAAGGAAGUGGCAAGGGGUGUAGAAUGAGGGCAUCACACUCAAGCAGCAGAAACUAUAACACAUGGUGACUGUCUGGAUGUGAAGGAGAAGGGAGGGGGUGAAGAAUCAGAGAUGAGUAAGGCCUAGAGUCUGAGAGAGUAGAAUAUAGAAAAAUACAUUAAACAGGAAAAAGAGAAUGUUGUAGAAGGUGAUAGCAGGUUCUGUUUUAAGCAUUUGAGUUAAGAUUGCCAGGAGAGUAUCAAGUGAAGUGUACAUCUGGAGCUAUGGAAAGAGAGUUGGUAGCAAGAGAGAGAUUUGGGAGCAUCUGCAUAGAGUAAAAAAUGGAACUGCAAGGAUGAGACCUUGGGAGAAAGAGAAGUGAUAAAAAGACAAGAGGGAGCCACUGUGCCCAACUCAGUAGUACGUCUUUUAUGUCACUGACUGGACUUGGCCCUGC
rnacentral:lncRNA from 10 species